GAAAUCGUUCUUGGCAAUCUAGACCCCAUACACCGAAUGUGUCUGUGACUACUUCUUCUUUUUCUUGCUGGAAUUGUCGGGAAGCUAAUCACGCAUUUCGUGAUUGUACCAGACCCCAAACGCGGAUUUUUUGCCACGGUUGUGGUAGAGACAACACAUUAAAACGUAACUGUUUUAAGUGGUCGGGAAACGAGCAUGCAGAGGCUCGUACCCUGAGCGUUCCUCAAACAGCAGCCCCAUCAGGGAAUAUGACCGCAGCUGUUGACGAAGCUUCAGGUCCAAUACCCGCCAGCAGCUCAAACACACCCUCUCAGGAAGGAAGAAACACUCCCAACCGGAGGCCAGCACGCAAACCGAAGUCAGGGAAAAAGUAAUUGUUAGCAACCCUUCAGUUGACUCGGACGGUUUGCUUGAUCGUAGAUUAUCCCCUCCAGUCUUAAACUGGAAUUUUAGUAGUAAGCAUAAUCAGGACAA
rnacentral:lncRNA from 1 species